rnacentral:lncRNA from 1 species
AGCGUUUCUCCUUUUUACCGAUGAUGAUGUUGGUGAUGAUGAGUGCGUUUUCUUUGCUGGUUUCACAGAAAGCCCAACCCGAUGGACUACGGGGUGAUGGAUAACCCAGGCUUUGACUGGAGAGCAGAGCACCCGUCCCUCCACGAAAGGCCAGGCGGGUGUCCCAGACUUAACCCCAGGAGGAGUGAUGGUCGGGGGCUUUCCAUCAGUGUCUACCCCUGGAGGAAGGAGGCGGAGCAGGGUUCAGCCUGGAAAGAUGCCAAGCUGUCCUUCGCCAACCCGCUGUACAAUUACCCCCCUGAUGCUUAUAGUGCUGACUGCAAAAGCUCUGCAGCAUAAAAACAAUGGACCUUACAUAUCGACACUGGAGUGCAUGUGGGUCAAACAGUGUGUGCACAUACUUGAUCAGUUUGUCUUGACCUGCAGAGGAGCCAAGUUUAAACAACGUAAAGAGGAAGAAAGUUUAGAUACAUUGCAAGGAAGUAUCUGAAUGUCAGUUCUGAUACACUGCUGUUGCUGUUUGAUUGACAACUAAAUAAUCAGCUCAUCAUAUUAAUGAUGUGUUACCCCCCGCAACCCAUCUGCCACUAAAAGGGAAGCACACUAAUCCAUGACUGAAACAAAUUGUCUCUAUAUAAAUACCAAUAAAGGUAGUUUAAAAAGUAAAGAGGUGAACAGUUUCUGCAGGAGUUCUGCUUUAUGCAACACUACGAUUUUAUAAGUUAAGAUGAUAAUGUCAAUUAAUGAUCAAUCAGAUGAACUUGGAUCACUAUAAAUUACAAUCAAUCAAUCCGCAUUUCUUCUCUUGUUGUUUAAGCUUCCAAAAAAUGUGAUAAAAGAUUUAAAAAACACUGUUUUAGGGAGGAAAACCUUUAUAAUUCACAUUUUUGGGAAAUACGCCUAUUUGUUUUCUUAGUUUAGCAUAAAGACCGGAGGAAAGGGGAAACAGCUCAUACUAGCACCUCUAAAACUCACAAAAUAAAACUUUUUUGUUUAAUCCGUACAAAAACCAAAUUAAAACAACUCUUACUGUUUUACAGGCUGUUGUAUGAGAGACUAUUUCUUGGACGGGAGCAGUAACUUCCUGGAGAUGUUUCGAUGUUUUCCAGUCUUUAUUUCAGACUAUUCCUUUACAUAGUUGAAGAUAUUGGGGGAGAUAAUGAAAUAAAUUGCCCAUUUUUACAUAGAAAAAAGGUUAAAUCUCAAAAUCCAGCAGUACAUGCGUCACAAUGGGCAUUAGAACAAAUUAGUCCAUUUUGUAAUACAGUCAGUGUAGUGUUAGUGCUGCAGUACUUUAACUUGCAGAAAUGGUUGUGGGUGCCUCGUGCAUGGUGAUUAAAGGUUUUCUUUAGUGCUGGCAAAAGCAGAAAACAUCCAGUUCAUGGAACUGAAAGGCUCGACUGAACACACAGAGCCUCAGAAUGGAGUCCUGGCUUCAUUAGUGAUCCUUUCUAAUCCCCACAAGUGCAAAUAAAAUAGUUUGCCCCUGUUUUAUUUGCAAAUUAAAAUCCAUUACAAGUCAGAGUCCUGUGUUUGUGUGUGUGUGUGUGUGUGUGUGUGUGUGUGUGUGUGAGCUGACUCUCUUGUAUUAACCAGCAUGGAGCAGAUGGGAUCAUAAACAGCACAGUUAAACCAGUCUGUUAUAAAUUUCACGAGGGUUCAGUCAUGGCUCCUCUCAGCUGACAUGCCAGCAUAAAUGUCCUCCUCGUAUUUGACAGUCAACGCGAUGAUUUAAAAGAUCAGGCCUUGUUCUGAAUAGAGAGCAGCCUCCUUCUCAGCAUCGUAGUGAUGAUAUUUCUCUUUAAAAUAUGCUUAUCUGCUUUCUUGCAAAGAGUAAUGUGAGAAGAUUGAUGCCACUCACUUAUCUAUCUGUCAAAUAUGAAGCUAUAUAUCUAGCUUUGGGUUAGCUUAGCAUAAAACCUGAAAAAUGGCUGCCUUUAUCGGUACCUCUAAAGCUCUAACUUUACAUUUAGAAACAAGAGUGGUAUUGAUCGUCUCAGUAAAUAAAUGCAUUUCCCAGAAUGUCUUAAGUAUUUCUUUAUAAUCAUGUUAGGCAAUACAAUUAUAUCCGGUCUUCUGUUGUUGCAGCGGACUGGAUCUGUGCAGGGUCAAACUUACACUGAAUCGAUAGAGGUCACACUGUUGCUCUGUCAGUGUAUUAACACGGAUAUCUUAGACUGCAUGUACUGAAUUUGGAUGAAACCAAUAAAAAUAUAAUGUGAUUAGCAUUUUAUUUUAUCCCCUAGAUUAGUACUGACCCAUAAUUCAAUGUUGACAUGUCAUGGGAGUAAAAGCAAAGGUGUAAAUAUAAGAUUAAUGAUGAGUCCUGAUAUUGUGCAUGAAGGCUUACUGGGACACUUGAGUGGAGCUUUCAUUAAUGUUAUUAGUAAAACAUGUGUUUAGCCUACUGUGAUUAAUUAAAUAAUAAUCUUAUUAGAUACAGGUAGGAACACAAACAUAAAAAAAAAUACAUUUCCUUUCUUUGGCCUGUUUUUUUUUAUGGUACUUCUGGCUUUUACAGGGAGUUGGUGCAAUGAUAAACCGAUGCAGUCUCAAUCCCAUUUAUUAUAAAUGUCAGGUUAACUUGGUUCUGAGAGCCUCCACUUCAUCAAAAACACAUCAAAAUACUCCCAUUCCUUCAUAUUGGUCCAAGUUCAAGUUAUGAAUCCUUAAUUUUUAGGCUGUGGAUGAACGCAAUCUCCAGUGUCAUUACUGUUUAGUGUCGUUCUCCAUCACUCGAGAGUCUCUGCUGAGUCUGUAGGUGGAUUCUGGGUCAGAGAUUUAUCAGAGGGCCACUGGAUCAAUUUCAGCCUUUGAGCUGCUCCAACUGUUUUAUUUUUUGUGCCCUCGCCUUAUAUUGGCUCACUACCUUUUUCCUCUGACAUUGUGCCCUCCAAAGCUAAAAAGAAACUACAUAUGGGGACAGCCCAUUGUUCAAAAAACCCCACUGGUCGACAAUGGAAAAAUAUCCCAUUGGACCGCCAAAGACAAAAGCCCAUUGCUCCAAAGGUCCAUUUUAUUCUAAAUAUCUGAUCAGAAUCUGAUUUUGACCUUUUAUUAUUAAAGUAUUAUGACAUAGAAAUGUAAUUUCCAUGAAAACAGAAUGUAAAAUUGCCACAGAAAGUGAAAAAACAACUAGAAAACUAAGAUUAAAGUAGGAGAUUUGGCUACAAGAGUAACAACAUUUGACAUAUUAUUUUCCAUAAUAUGUAAAAUAUCCAUUUUGAUCAACAAUGGCAUUCAAUUUAUUAUCCUGCCAACGGUAACUAGCUAGAACAGAGAAGCAGUAACUGCCAUCACAACCAAAGUUAAUGCAAUUUGGUGUUGUUAAGCUACUUUUAAAUCACAUAUAUUAAUGUACUGAAUUACAAUCCAUUGGUUUUAAUAUAGUGUAAAUAUUAUCAGUAGCCAAAAAGACAGAAAAAAGGGAUGUAGAUAAGUGUCAGAGAGAGAUCCAAGGGGACGCUAGCUGGACAUAGUUAUCCUGAUCUAAAGCUAAAACCUCAUUGAUUCCUCUCUAACUAUAAUCUGUACCAAUUUUAAUGAACCAACAUUUGAGUAAAACCAGUUUGUUAUUUUACACAAUGACUGAAUACAUCACUAACUGCCCUCUCAGCUUUUAAGUCUACAAUGAUGAUAAAUGUAUUAUUGAGUUCAAUAUACUGUACAUAGACAGACAUUUAAUCCGUAUUGACUCUAACUGUGGACUGUAGAUGAUCAAAAUAAACUCAUUUCAAAUGAACAAGAAUGUUUACUAAGUUUUUUAAAUCUUAUGUAAAAAGUUGUAAAGGUAAAAGUUGUUACCCAGGUUCUUAAUCGGUCCUCCGUCAACCCACUCAGCUUAUUUAUCAUGUAAAUAAAUCAUGUAAAUACUGACUGAAAUGAUAAUAAUUCCGACUUUUGUAUUACAAAGUUAUUUGAAUCACAAUAGCUGGAAGUGGUCUGGUCUGGUUUUAUCAUUGGUACCAUUAUUAACAACUGCAAAGCCAACAAUUCAACAAAAGGGCACCUCUCUGACUCCCUUUGUGAAUCACCAAAAACACACACUCAGCCUUUUCACGGCCUCGACGU